rfam:Fistulifera solaris DNA, contig: scaffold00084, strain: JPCC DA0580.
GGGGGUUUAGCUCAGUUGGUAGAGCGUGUGCUUAGCAUGCACAAGGUCGCCGGUUCGAUUCCGGCAUCCUCCA